rnacentral:rRNA from 1 species
CCUACGGGCGGCAGCAGUGAGGAAUAUUGGUCAAUGGGCGCGAGCCUGAACCAGCCAAGUCGCGUGAGUGAAGACGGUCCUAUGGAUUGUAAACCUCUUUUGUCGGGGAGCAAAAGACGCCGAGCGUGGCGUUCCGAGAGUACCCGAAGUAACAGCAUAGGCUAACUCCGUGCCAGCAGCCGCGGUACGACGGGGGAUGCGAGCGUAAUCCGAAUUUAUUGGGAUUAAGGGGUGCGCAGGCGGAAGAUCAAGUCAGCGGUAAAAUUGAGAGGCUCAACCUCUUCGAGCCGUUGAAACUGGUUUUCUUGAGUGAGUGAGAAGUAUGCGGAAUGCGUGGUGUAGCGGUGAAAUGCAUAGAUAUCACGCAGAACUCCGAUUGCGAAGGCAGCAUACCGGCGCUCAACUGACGCUCAUGCACGAAAGUGUGGGUAGCGAACAGGAUUAGAUACCCUUGUAGUC